rnacentral:rRNA from 1 species
UACGGAGGAUGCAAGCGUUAUCCGGAUUCAUUGGGUUUAAAGGGUGCGUAGGCGGAAAUGUAAGUCAGUGGUGAAAUCCUGCAGCUUAACUGUAGAAUAGCCGUUGAAACUGUGUUUCUUGAGUACAUUUGAGGUAGGCGGAAUGUGGUGUGUAGCGGUGAAAUGCAUAGAUAUACCACAGAACACCGAUUGCGAAGGCAGCUUACUAAACUGUCACUGACGCUGAUGCACGAAAGCGUGGGGAUCGAACAGGA